GCUAUAAUGGCAUGUGGCAGACGGCUAUACGCUAGAUGGAAAUGCGUUUGUAACCUGUCAGGCCAAUGGCAGCUGGACAACACUUCCAACGUGCGACAUUAGAAACUGUAGUGAUCCCACUCCGUCAGCUGGUACUUCGAAUGACACAAACUACGAGUACGGUACAGCAAUUCAAGUCACAUGCAACAGUGGUUACACUAUUCAAGGGAGUUCAUCGAUUAUUUGCCAGGCUGAUGGUACUUGGAGUGACAGUCCAACUUGCGAUCCGGAAGAUUGUGGAACCUUGACCGUUGUAAAUGGACAGUUUACUGCUGCAUCAGGAACGACAUUGGGAGAAACAGCAACACAGUCCUGCAAUACUGGUUACACGUUUUUGCAGGAGAUGCGACAGUCACUGCA